AACGAACGCUGGCGGCAGGCCUAACACAUGCAAGUCGAGCGCCCUUUCGGGGGAGCGGCGGACGGGUGAGUAACGCGUGGGAAUAUGCCCUUCUCUACGGAAUAGCCUCGGGAAACUGAGAGUAAUACCGUAUACGCCCUGUGGGGGAAAGAUUUAUCGGGGAAGGAUUAGCCCGCGUUGGAUUAGGUAGUUGGUGGGGUAAUGGCCUACCAAGCCGACGAUCCAUAGCUGGUUUGAGAGGAUGAUCAGCCACACUGGGACUGAGACACGGCCCAGACUCCUACGGGAGGCAGCAGUGGGGAAUCUUAGACAAUGGGGGCAACCCUGAUCUAGCCAUGCCGCGUGAGUGAUGAAGGCCUUAGGGUUGUAAAGCUCUUUCAGCUGGGAAGAUAAUGACGGUACCAGCAGAAGAAACCCCGGCUAACUCCGU
rnacentral:rRNA from 1 species